CUUUCGUUCAGUUCGGACGCAGCGAACACCCGAAGACCCACUAACCAGUGAACAUACCUCCACUCCUUUUACGUGGUCCACGAGGCUGCUGACAACGACGUGAAAAUGUAGACGAGACGGAUUUGGUGCGGAGCGCGACAGUUUACCUGCACCCUACGGGGUCGGUGCUUGAACAAUCCGUACGCAACCAUAAUCUGGUCUGAUUAGAGUUCGAAAUUUCCUCACAUUUUGAACAAUUCGAGAAGAGCACUUCGAGAUACAUGAAUUAGUUAAUAUAGCAGACUCGUAGUAUUGAGAUCGAGAACUAAAUCGUCGGCACCAUCCUCUUUAAACCGAAUGUCUACUACCACACAAGGGCACACGGAACGUUGGAAUUGCAAAAUAGAAAAAACAAAUCUACCCAGUCGAAUAGAAUAACAAACAGAAAGUAACAAACAAAUAAUCAAGGUAGAAAAGACAGAGAGGAUCGAUUUUGCUUAGCAACAACUAGCUUUGCGAUA